rnacentral:lncRNA from 1 species
AUGUCAUUAGACUCUGAUGAUGGUGAGCCGCCAACGAUAUCGGAUUCCGCAGAUAAGAACCAAGAAGUGGGGAAGGAAAAGCCUCCCCAGCCGCCCCCACCGGCGCUGGAAGAGUUCCGUCCUCCGCUCCCAGAUCAGCAGACCACCUCUGAGACAACGCCAACGCUGUCUGAUUACAGCGCUCUCAAAACAGCAAUCUCGCAGUUCAAAGCCUCCAACCAGAUAGGCCUGAGCUCCUCAGACGCUGGCAGCUUGUCGCCAGGAGGGUUUCCUGUGAAUCCCCACCAGAGCUUUCUGUGUCCGUCUGCUUCGUGGUCGUCUUACACCGGCUCCUCCAGCUACGCGGCCUCCCCAGCCUAUCCCGCCUCUCCCUGCAGCAGCACGCAAGAACAGGAAUUUCGGCCUCCGGUUACAGCUGCAGCUGUAGCCACCGUCUCAACCCCCCCUGUCAUGGCCACACCAGGACCUCUAGCCAACUUGGCCUCUCUUCCCUUAGAAGUCAAACCCCCGCCUCCACCUCACCUAAUGAUGCUGGGUCACACGUAUGGCUCAGACACUGGGGGAGCUGGGGCUACUGGGAGCUCGCCCCUCACAACCUCCCUUCCCUACACAGACCAGAGUGACACAGCCCAGCCAGGUUACACGGCUGGCAUUGGUAAAAAUGCGAGUGGGACACCCGCACAGCAUGAAAGGACACCCAGUGGAACCGAAGAGAAAUCAUGGGGCACCACAGGGACCAGCACUUGUGAGAUGGUCACCCCUGGCCUGGUGGACCCCAGUGGGCUUCCUAAGACUGCAGAAAACCUAGGAGGCAGCACCGCUGCUAGUCAUGGCAGCAGAACUCAAAUGAAUUGCGCCGACAGCCUUGUUCCGUCUGUGGGCAUUCCCAACAUGGCCACCAGGGGGGGCGCAGUCGUCAGGCCUAAGAUGCCUCCACAUCCAAUGUGUGGUGUGGGCUUUGGCAGCAUAGGCGGGGUUCCAGGACAAAUGGACCAUGGGCCCAUGAGGGGUGCGAUGGGUCCUGGUUUUUUAGGAGGCUACCGAGGAAGGGGACCCCCACCAGUAGGACUUUGGCCUCGUCCAGGCCGAGGACACGAUCGGGGGGGAGGGAGCGGCGGUGGACCUUGCUCGUGGGGUUAUCCGGGUAGAGGUGGGGCACAGGCUUACUACUCGAACUACACAUACUCUCACAAUUACGCCCCUCAAUAG